CCUACGGGUGGCAGCAGUGGGGAAUAUUGCACAAUGGGCGCAAGCCUGAUGCAGCCAUGCCGCGUGUAUGAAGAAGGCCUUCGGGUUGUAAAGUACUUUCAGCGGGGAGGAAGGCGAUGAGGUUAAUAACCUUGUCGAUUGACGUUACCCGCAGAAGAAGCACCGGCUAACUCCGUGCCAGCAGCCGCGGUAAUACGGAGGGUGCAAGCGUUAAUCGGAAUUACUGGGCGUAAAGCGCACGCAAGCGGUCUGUCAAGUCGGAUGUGAAAUCCCCGGGCUCAACCUGGGAACUGCAUUCGAAACUGGCAGGCUGGAGUCUUGUAGAGGGGGGUAGAGUUCCAGGUGUAGCGGUGAAAUGCGUAGAGAUCUGGAGGAAUACCGGUGGCGAAGGCGGCCCCCUGGGCAAAGACUGACGCUCAGGUGCGAAAGCGUGGGGAGCAAACAGGAUUAGAUACCCGAGUAGUC
rnacentral:rRNA from 1 species